GCAUCCGUAGCUCAGUUGGUAGAGCAGCUGACUCUUAAUCAGCGGGUCCUAGGUUCGAGUCCUAGCGGAUGCA
rnacentral:tRNA from 1 species